CGUAAACUGCACUAGUUCCGAGUACAGUGCAGUAGAAACAAAUUAUAACCUAGGCAAAAUUGCAACACAAAUUCUUAUUACAUUAUAUACUAAACACAGCCUGGCGUUCACGCUCAAGAUGCUGCAAGAACCUAUCUAUUUAACGGGGACGGCGAGAUCUUUCGCCAAGUGUACAUGCCGGUUCGAAGGAAAAGAAGACCCGAAGCCCUUCAUUGACAGCAGAAACAGCUACAAUGCAUGUACAUUGUACCCAAGUCUCAGACGACAACGUGAAUUCAACCCUAUAACUGAUUUUGCACAUAGAAAAUAUUAUUAGCUUAACGCCUUACCACAACAGAAAUCGAAAAUAACCGUAGAAAACAUUCACCCUUAUACUGUUCUGAUUAGAAAUUUGUUUCAUGCCUUUACACACUACGCUACACUGACAACGCUGGAAUUUGUUUCAUAAAAUAAUUAAUGCUACCUUUGAUCUCGACAAGAUUACUUCCGACGCUGCACGUGUCUUCAGUCCCGAUUAAACUAAUGAUAUAGGUAAUAUCACUUAAUCUGAUUGCUGAAAUGGGCAGCUUUAAACCCUAAUCAUAAAUUAUAAUUUCAGUGUAGUGCAAGUACAAGCAAUUCAAUUAUAACAGUUUCACAAUACGUUGUUACAAAACUCGUAAAUCAUAUAAACGAGGAUGAAAGUCAUUUUCAUCCAUGCUGUUGAUAAUAAAUAAAUCACGUUUGAGUAUCGCUUGCCAGUUUUCAGGUACACCUAAAUCCUGUUCAGAACCUUGUAGCUUAUUUUAUUAUAAUUUGCAACGUGUUAUAUAGAAUCGAUUAGAGUAAGAUUAAUUACGUUUAUAUAUUACCUAUAAUGAGACUAUAUCAUUCUGUACCAUCACUCUCUC